rnacentral:rRNA from 1 species
UCGAGGAUCUUCGGCAAUGAGCGCAAGCUUGACCGAGCGACGCCGCGUGUGCGACGAAGGCCUUCGGGUUGUAAAGCACUGUCGAGGGGGAGGAAAGCCGAAAGGUCUGACCUAUCCCUGGAGGAAGCACGGGCUAAGUUCGUGCCAGCAGCCGCGGUAAGACGAACCGUGCGAACGUUGUUCGGAAUCACUGGGCUUAAAGGGCGCGUAGGCGGGCCGCAAAGUCAGGGGUGAAAUCCUCCAGCUUAACUGGAGAACUGCCUUUGAUACUGGCGGUCUGGAGUAAGGUAGGGGCAUGCGGAACUGAUGGUGGAGCGGUGAAAUGUGUUGAUAUCAUCAGGAACUCCGGUGGCGAAAGCGGCAUGCUGGACCUUCACUGACGCUGAGUGCGCGAAAGCCAGGGGAGCAAACGGGAUUAGAUACCCCUGUAGUCC